rnacentral:piRNA from 1 species
UCCGGAGGGAGAGGAACAAACUGGC